AAAAUUUUAAGUUAAAUAAACUAAUAGCCUUCAAAGUUAUAAAUAAAAAAUAUAUUUUUUAAGUUUUA
rnacentral:tRNA from 1 species